UUUUGAUUGCCCCAAGCAGGGAAAUAGGGUAGAAUGGAUGCAUUAUGACUUCAAAGUCUAGGUAAUAAAAAGAACACAGCUUCUGCCUGGCUCGCUCUUUGGGAGAUGCUCACUCUGGGGAAGCCAAGCAUCACGUUGCGAGGAAGACCCGAGAGUCCCAUGCACAGAGACUACUUGAGAGGCCCUCAUGGAUAGGAAGUAACGUGCCUAGUGGACAGCCAGCACCACCAUUGGGCACAUGUGAACGAGCCUUCAAGUGAUUCUGGCCUCCGAGCGUCAAGCCUCCGCUGACACCAAGGGGAGCAGAGGGGAGCCAUCCACACUAAACCCAGAGCAAAACACAGAUUCGUGGGCAAAAUCACUGUGGUUGCUGUUGUUUUAAACCACUCAGUUCUUUAGGAAUGGAACAAGCCCUCUUCAGCCAUGGCCACACCUUCUGUCCAUGCAUCUAACCACCAUCUUCACCACGCUUGUCUGAUCACUGAUGGUUUUGUCUGCUCCACUAGAAGCAAGGAAUCUCAUCUCAAUACUCCCAAGUCUCACAUGGAACAGAAAGGGGCCUCCAUAAAUGAUCGUCCUCGAUAAUGAGGGCCAAAGAGAGCCAAGGAAAUGAAGAUAGUGUUGGAUCUAUCAUCACAAGACUCAGGUUGCUGGGGCUCAGGGACCUGCUACUGGCUGAUCAAUAUCUCCAACCACCCCACAUGUAGCCGGCAGUUCCUGCUUUCUGUGACUAUGAUCAGCACUGAGACAAGAGCUACGAGUGCUUGUGUGGUGACUGAUAAGCUCUUGCUCCACUCAGGCCCAAGGACUUGAUCAGACAGCAGUGUGAGGCAUUCAGAGGGAAGCUUACGUGAUAAUGGCCACAACACUGAGGAGACACUUGGAGUUUGAUGACAAAGAGGGAGCAUCAGCCGCUGUGAGCUGGUCAGCCUUCCUAGGGACAUGUAGCCACUGCCACUCCUGGUGGCGUUUCUUCUGUCCUACAGGGGAGAGGUAGGUGAGUGACUGUCCCCACUAACAGAGGCCCAGCUGCAUCCCACACUGGCUCAGCCCUGCUCAGAUGCUGCACUCAGACACAUCCUAGUGCUGGUCUAUCCCAGGAACUUUCUGAACUCCAGGUCCAACAUCCCUCAAACACCAGCAAAUCUGAUGCAUAAUGAAAACUCAGCAGGAAUGGCAGGGCAGAACGCUGUUCUCCACAAGGGCCAGUGGGUGCUGUUCCUCCCCAGGCCCUACCCUUGUCAUCUGGAAAGUGGGUUCUUUUACAAAGGCCUCUGGAAGGAGAUUGGAAGCUGGGAAUGAGAAAUAAUUAAUUCCCGAGGAAAGGGCAGCUUGGAGAAAGGGGCUGACUUCUGAAAUCAAAGUAGGUCCCACUAGCUUUCUAACUCGAUGUCCUAAAACAUAUCCUCCAAAUCCACUCCCUUCUCCAAGCUUUGUCACUCCCAUGCUGCCCAGGAAAGAAACUAAGGAUCCAGUUGAUCCCAGAGUUGGCGGCAUCUCAGUUCCCUUAAACUAAUGUUCGGCUGGAUCACUCUCAAGUUCUCUCUGGGAAUUUUUCAGUCAAUGGGCACAACAGCUUUGGCAGGCUCCAUCUUUCCUGCUGCUCAGAACCCUACCAGGAUUAUCCCAACCUACCCUCCUCAGAGGCUAACUGGGAGCCAUUCCUUUCGGCAGACAAGAUAUUUACUGGGCACCUACAACCUGUCAGGCUCAAGCAGAUACAGAGCAAACACAGCCCAGCAUCUUGAGCUCAUGUUCCGAACAUUACAGACCAGCAGCCCAGUCAGGUCUGAAAAAUAAGAGGGGGAGAGGACCCAGAGAACAUCAGGGAAAGGAUUUUCCAGGAUCCAACAGGCCUUCCACGCUUGUUCCAAACACCAUUCCUGUCUGCCACACUUGUGUCUGCAGCAGGAAUUAAGGAAUGAGGACUGCUCUUCUCUUUGUCAGAGAGAGAAUCUGAGUCUGGAGGGUCACCAGGCAAGCCAGGCUUGCCACUCCAGGAACGCAUAGGACCCUCUACUUGGUUGGUGCUGGAUACUGCAGACCGCACUACCUGCCACCCCAACUCCUUCCGCCCUGGUCUCCUUUGUCCUCAUCUCCCUGCUCCACCCUGUGACUCCAUGAGCACAACAAGUAGGGUAGAAUUUUCUUUCAGGGAAAACCAUCAGGGGCCAUGUGGCCAAUCCUUAUUCUUGUCCCUAUCUGGCAUUUCUUCUGAUCCAGACUCCAGAGAAAAGAAAAAGCUGCGGGGGGUUUCCUUGUGUGUGAGGACUUUGUGCUGACAGCCGAUCGCUGCCGAGGAAGGUGAGAAGCAGCAUGUGGCCCCACCCUUCUGGCGACACUUCACAGAGAACUGCCUUCUCAGUGAGCCAACUAGGAAGACUGAAGAGCCCUUCAGAGGACAGGGAAGCUUUGGGGAGAGAGGAACAGGUCAGUUCAAGGGGCCUGUGGAAGAGACGGGCUGGUCAAAGCUGCAUCGGGAGGAGGCUGAGGUUGUGCUCCAUGCCCAGAGUACACAGGGGAGAAAUUCACAGUUUUGCUUAGACACAGGCAAGGUCUGCAUCUGACUGAGCACCCGGGAUCUGCUCCAGGAACCGCCACCCAGCAUGGAAUGCCAAGAAGCAGAGGACACGGGGAUGCUCAGCCCCAGGGCCCCACCCCUGUAAUUCCUCCCCACUCUAGUCCUGCCGUGUCCCAAGCCUUCGUGCCUCCUUCAUGGCUCCUGGGGUGCAUCUCCUGUGACUGCACGUCCCACUCUGCUCUGUGCAGCUUAACCCACUUCUCCCUGAGGAUCCACAACAUCCAGGAGCAGGAAAGGACCCAGCAGGUCAUCCCUGUGAGAAGAGCCAUCCCCCACCCAGACUACAAGCCUAGGAAUUUCUCCAAGGACAUUGUGUCACUAAGGGGCUGUGGAGAAGGCAACCCCAUGACAGUCCCUGGAGUCUUUGUGAAUUCCUUUCCUCUGCCCUGAGCUUGAAGAGGAUGGCCAACCUGACUGCCUCUGUGAGCCCCCUCAGGCUGCCCAGGAGGAGAUUGCUGGCAAAGCUAGGGACGGUGUACAGUGUGGCUGACUGGGAGCGCCUUGGUGGGAACACUCCCUCUGCCAUAAAACUGUGGGAAGUAGAGCUUGAUAUCCAAAGGGAUGAGCAAUGCAUCUCUCACUACAAAGACCAUUACAACACCGUCACCCAGAUAUGUUUGGGGACCCAACAAAGAGGAAGACUCUUUUUAAGGUGAGAUCCCCAGCACUGUCCAUGUCCAGCCUGGGAUACAGCCAAGCUUGAGGAGAUCUGGGGCAGAGGGAACUAGCUAUAUGCUUGUGUACUCAGCCUUGUCACCAACUCAGUCUGGUGUCUUGUUACCCUGCAGGGAUAGGAGACUCUACCACAGCCACUUAUUGUCAAAGUCUUCCUGGGGAAAGAGAAGAAGGGAAUUGUCAGGGCCAGGCUGGGCUCCCAGAACCAAAGAGGGGCACAAAGGCUGUCCUGGCCCACAUCUCACUCACAGCCCCCAAACAGAGUCCCCUUAACAGCAGGGCAUAAGGGAGGGGAGGAGCAGGAGAAGGCCCAGCUCAGCCCCUCCUCCCCUGCCCACUGGGGGAGCCCAGUGGCUCCCUUGUGUGAAAGAAGGUGGCUCAGGACAUUGUCUCCUUUGGAAAAAAGAAUGGGAAACUUUCACCUGUCCACACAAGGACCUUGAGCUUUCUACCCCAGGCAAAAACUACCUCCGGGAUUGAUCCAUCCAUCUUCUCUGGGGCAGAAGCCAGCAAUGCACUGGGUAGAGGAGGAUGGAGGGGAGGCUGCCAGGGACUUACUAAACUUCCUUCUUUAGAGUGGAAAUCAUUAAUUCUUUCUUUAUUCACCAAAAUGUCCUAGAGCCUAUAGCGUAUGGAGUAAAUUUGUCAACAAUCUCUGAAUCUUGUAUAUAAGAAUGGACUCAGAAAAGUAAACUCAUUUUUAAAUUAUCCACCUUAGAGAAGGCUGGACUAGAAAGAAGUCGUCUGCUGAAUGUUUGCCAGUGAUGAGUGUGCUUCGACUAUGGCACAAUGUUUACUGGAUAGAAAAGUAACACAUGUUCAUCAGAGAAAGACAGUUAAAGGCAGAACAGACAAAUAAGAAGGUUAAAAUUCCCAAGAAUUUCACCUCCUCGAGAUCAUCAUUAGUGCUUAAGCAGCUUGCCUUCCCCUCUUUUUCUUUGUCUUUAUAACAUUCCAUUGCUGUAACAGAAGUGGGAUUGGGCUGUUUAGAAUUCAUAAUCUCUUCUUUUCCACUACUUCCUCAUCUGUCAUCAUACUGGAGACGAUGGUGGGAUAAUCUGUUGGCAAAUACUUCUGUUAGGCCCAGGCACAUCAGAGCCAUGAUUCACUGGACCCGGGACAGAGAGUACUUAGUGGAUAGUGAUUUUUAGGAUGAUCAGCGUCCAUUUCCCCAUCAUCUGUCACCAGUAACCAGCAUUUCUCAAGUGCAACUCCCUCCUCAGAAAACAGACACUCUGAUUGGGGUGGAACAAUCCCCCGCUCAGGUCCAGGGGUGCUCAAUAUCUCAAGCAUAAACUACUUAGGCAUUUAAUUCUGAAGGACUCAAUGAUGGUUUGUUUUGGUCCAGUGAAUAUCAAGUCCAAGAUUUUAUUCAAAAUUGUGGGAUAAAUGAAGCUCUCUUUGUCACAGAAUAUUUACAUUUAAAGAGGGGAUUCUAAAUAUUCCAAAAUACAAGGCUGGACUUGUGGGCAGAGAGGCAGUGAGGUUACCACUGGGGGGGUCUGUGUGUGUCCAGCUCUACAUGCCCCUCAGGAAGGUCCAGACUAUCUCCCACCACCAAGCAGACCCCCACCACAGCCCCUCCUGGCCUACACUCUAACCACAGAGUCUCAGUCUACUCAAGGCGACCGCC
rnacentral:lncRNA from 1 species